GGCCCAUUCCUUCCCAUCAGACCCAGCCUGAAAACCACCCUUUUCUUCGCAAUCGGGCCACUGUCGCCAGGCACGCCACUCCUUUUCAGAACCGCUGAGUAUAGGCCUACUAGUUAGAAUUAUUCAAGUUUGCAAAUUGCUUAAGUCAAAUUUGGUCCGCCAAUUGAAGAGCCUACCAGCUGCAUUCGUGCCCCUGAUCGUCGCCCCAGUCCACAAGCACACGAUUUUGGUCGACUACUUCACGACAGGUGAUAGGUUUCUACUUUUUCUGGCUUGAUCAUUUAAUUAUGUUCUAGUUCUCUUGCAUGAUAGCUAUAUUCUUGAA
rnacentral:lncRNA from 1 species